UUAAAGUGCACUCGUGGGUUGUUGUAUUCAACGUUUUACCGUUCGUCUUACUUAAUUUUUUUUAUUGUGAUUAAUAUUUUUAUUGAUAUUAGAUGAUAAAACAUGAAUAGCACCUUGUGCGUGACUUAUUUAUUAUUUUUCAUAAUUAUUUCAAAUAAGACGGAGGAUCAAACGUUGGAUAUGUAAACCCAUAGUUACACUUAAA
rfam:Oryza barthii chromosome 11, whole genome shotgun sequence.